UACGUAGGGGGCAAGCGUUAUCCGGAUUUACUGGGUGUAAAGGGAGCGUAGACGGAAUUGCAAGUCUGAUGUGAAAAUCCGGGGCCCAACCCCGGAAGUGCAUUGGAAACUGUCGCGCUCGAGUGUCGGAGAGGUAAGUGGAAUUCCUAGUGUAGCGGUGAAAUGCGUAGAUAUUAGGAGGAACACCAGUGGCGAAGGCGGCUUACUGGACGACAACUGACGCUGAGGCUCGAAAGCGUGGGGAGCAAACAGG
rnacentral:rRNA from 1 species